rnacentral:rRNA from 1 species
GACGAACGCUGGCGGCGUGCUUAACACAUGCAAGUCGAGCGGUAAGGCCCUUUCGGGGGUACACGAGCGGCGAACGGGUGAGUAACACGUGGGUGACCUGCCCUCAGCUCUGGGAUAAGCCUGGGAAACCGGGUCUAAUACCGGAUAUGACUCCAUGACGCAUGUUGUGGGGUGGAAAGCCUUGUGCGGCUGAGGAUGGGCCCGCGGCCUAUCAGCUUGUUGGUGGGGUGAUGGCCUACCAAGGCGACGACGGGUAGCCGGCCUGAGAGGGCGACCGGCCACACUGGGGACUGAGACACGGCCCAGACUCCUACGGGAGGCAGCAGUGGGGAAUCUUGCGCAAUGGGCGAAAGCCUGACGCAGCGACGCCGCGUGAGGGAUGACGGCCU